UACGUAGGGCGCGAGCGUUGUCCGGAUUUAUUGGGCGUAAAGAGCUCGUAGGCGGCUUGUCGCGUCGGCUGUGAAAUUUUAGGGCUCAACCCUGACAUUGCAUCCGAUACGGGCAGGCUCGAGUUCGGUAGGGGAGACUGGAAUUCCUGGUGUAGCGGUGAAAUGCGCAGAUAUCAGGAGGAACACCUGAGGUGAAGACGGGUUGCUGGGCUGAUACUGACGCUGAAGCGCGAAAGCUAGGGUAGCAAACGGG
rnacentral:rRNA from 1 species